rnacentral:lncRNA from 1 species
CUAGCGCCCGACGGUCGGGUCACCCGAGUGGCGCGUGCCCGCUGCCCCGGGGGAAAGAAAGGGGCCGGGGCUGCGCUUUCCGCAGCUAUUGCUGAAAAGGGCCCCGCGCUGCUGGCGGGCGCAGACGCUCCAUGCGGGGCGCUGAGUGCGCUGCGCGCAGCCCCCCAGGUGUCUCGGGAGGCCGUGGCCGCCCUGCGUGCCUGGAGCCGGGGCGCAGCUGAGCCGACACCGAUUUACUUUUCCGUACAGGCCGGAGCCCCACGCUGGGGGACCCUAGUGCUGGCCGAGCUGACGGUGAAAUUGAUGUUUACCAACAUUCAUCCAUAAAAACCAAAUCCUGCCAAACCUACAUGUGGGGUUUGAUGGAGCAAGCCACAGCAGCUGUAGAAAAGAGGCACAACCCAGUGGUAUUCCCAAGAGCAAAUCAGAGUGGAGGUUUAUGGUGUAUUGAACCAAACAACCUGGUUGCUGUGGAACUUUAGGCACAGGUAUGUUAUUAACAUGCUAUUGUGUGUAUGAGCACUGGGCUCGCAGAGCCUGUUGCACAUGUGUAACUUUGCAGCCCAACAUGGCUCUAACCUGUGGGAAUUGAAAUCAGGGCAAACUCCAGAGCCUUUAAUGUUAUCCGUUCC